UGGGGGUAAAAUGCAGACUGCAGACAACGGAUAAAAUGCAGACGGUUGACUUUUUAACUGAAUCGUGUUACCAUUUCUAUCAUUGAGGGCUAAUCAUAAGCAGGGUAACCGGAGCGUUAUUCUUUACGAUUAGCCUAAAUGACCCUGUUUAUGGUUAGUACUCGAGAAUGGAAAUAGCACAAUGUAUAAGCUUACUUAAAAAGUCUGUAGUCUGCAGUCUGCAUUUUACCCCUGGCCUGUAGUCUCCAUUUUAACCUCAGUCUGCAUUUUACCCAGUCUGCAGUCUGCAGUCUGUGUUUUACACUGACAGUGCAAAAUACUGGAGACUGUGAGAAGAAUAAAUAUCAAGACUAGGGAAUAACCAAUUUGUUUGAUUAGGAGUUACUGUUUUAUAAGCUUCUAUUAGCUGUUGUUUGCCAUGACUGGUGUUUUACUAGUACAUGAUAACAGAGUCAGAAUUAAUCUGAGGCAAAUUUUGUAGAUAUAUUACAGUAACAAUUGCUAUUUCUUAUAGAUUACAAUCAAAGGCCACACAAAGUAUGCUGGGAGGACAGGAAAGAUGCCGAAGGGGCCAAAAUCACUUUUACAGCUGUGCCAUUCAUAUAUUUGGGUUGUAAGUUGUAUGACUGCCAGCAUGGUGUAGAUAGGAAGGCAGCAUCAAAACAAAGAAUGAAAGACAAAACACAGGCGAGACUGGAGGCAUCAUGUCCAAGAAACAGUCCAGAGUUGUCCAAAACACAAAGAAACAAAAUUGCACAGCAUGAAUAAAGCUCAGAGAAAUUUUUAGUAUUUCCAGAAUUUAAGGUGAGAACCUAAUCAGAAAUGGAUUUGGGAAAAUCAAAUAUGGCACAACUUAUUUUCAAAAAUAAAUCAAUAGAAAUGUUAAUCGUAACUUAAUAUAAAAAAGUAAUGAAGUUACAAAAGUUAUGCAAACGCCAAGGUGCAGCUAUGCAACUACAAGACAUUUUAACCUACCCAUACACAGCAUUUGUAAAGUUAUUUAUGGAAACUUGCACCAAAAUAGUAAAUAAACAACAACAAGCUCUUCCACAGUAACCACCCCAAAUUAACAUCAGAUGGAAAAUGCUUCCAUUGGUGAGUUAUUUUUUAAAGAGAUGGUCUUUCCUACUGAACCAUGUAGUUUUUUGGUUACAUUUGGAUGCAAUGCCUCCUCCAAAUAUAAAACUAAACAGUUGUUAUGUUAUUGUGACAUAUAAGGGUUUCCCCCUUUCUUUUCACAGAGGUGUAGCUGACUGUAGAAUUUAUAACCAUUGCAGAAUGAAAUAAUAUGUAAAAUCAGAUUGUCCUUGUAACAGAUUGCCAAGGAUACCCCAAGGAGGACAGAUUUGUCAUCCAGAAAACUAAGAAUAGCACUACAAGCAGGGACUGCUAAUCCAGAAAGACGAAUAUACAUGGAAUACCCUUCUACUUCAGAUCACCAGAAUCACCCAGUGGGCGAGGCUGGAGGAAUGUGUCAAACUGUUGAUAAGCGUGUCAUCAACAGAAUUCAGGAGUUGGUAGCAGAAGGCUUGACCAA